UACUAUAAGAAAGGCAGAAAAGCGUUAUCGGUUAAUGUGUACGUUUAAUUAUUAGAUGUUCAAAAAUGCUAUACUUAAUUACAAACAAGAGAGUUGAAAGCUGUUACGUGAUAUUCCAUUUUUUGAGUAAAUGUGAGGAUACCAUUGAAAAUAAAAGGUCGGAUUUUUACUAACGGUUUAUAUGCAUAGUUAUUAUAGGUUACAAAAAAUAAUGAUCUGAUAAUUCCAAGCUAAAGUAAAACGAACUAAAACAAAGAAUGAUAAGAAAUUGGUGUUUUUUAUUUCCAUAAAAAUUGAGGGUCAUAAUUUCGUCGGCUAUAGAGCUAUGUAUACAAUCUCCAAAUGACUUUGACUUUCGGUUUGGAAAUCCGCUAGAAAGUGAAGAAGAAUGUAUACAUAAAAGGUGUAAUUAGGUUCAAUUCCCAAUUUA